AACGAACGCUGGCGGCAUGCCUAACACAUGCAAGUCGAACGAGAUCUUCGGGUCUAGUGGCGCACGGGUGCGUAACGCGUGGGAAUCUGCCCUUUGGUUCGGAAUAACAGUUGGAAACGACUGCUAAUACCGGAUGAUGACGAAAGUCCAAAGAUUUAUCGCCAGGGGAUGAGCCCGCGUAGGAUUAGCUAGUUGGUGUGGUAAAGGCGCACCAAGGCGACGAUCCUUAGCUGGUCUGAGCGGAUGAUCAGCCACACUGGGACUGAGACACGGCCCAGACUCCUACGGGAGGCAGCAGUGGGGAAUACUGGACAAUGGGCGAAGGCCUGAUCCAGCAAUGCCGCGUGAGUGAUGAAGGCCUUAGGGUUGUAAAGCUCUUUUACCCGGGAUGAUAAUGACAGUACCGGGAGAAUAAGCUCCGGCUAACUCCGUGCCAGCCGCCGCCGUAACAC
rnacentral:rRNA from 1 species